AGAUUGAACGCUGGCGGCAUGCCUAACACAUGCAAGUCGAACGGGAGUAGCAAUACUCUAGUGGCGGACGGGUGAGGAAUACGUAGGAAUUUGCCCUUAAGUGGGGGAUAACCCGGGGAAACCCGGAUUAAUACCGCAUGACCUCGAAAGAGCAAAGUGGGGGAUCGCAAGACCUCACGCUUUUGGAGAAGCCUACGUCGGAUUAGCUAGUUGGUGAGGUAAUGGCUCACCAAGGCGACGAUACCGUAACUGGUCUGAGAAGGAUGAUCAGUACACGUACCGGAAACGUCGAAGACUACGGGUACCGGACCGUCCCGUACGGGGAGCGAGCAGUGGGGAAUAUAGGACAGUGG
rnacentral:rRNA from 1 species